CAGCACCUCAAGUGGUCAGGAUGAUUAUUGGGCCUAAAGCAGCCGUAGCCGGCGCUGUAAGUUUUCGGUUAAAUCUGUACGCUCAACGUACAGGCUGCCGGGAAUACUGCAGCGCUAGGGAGUGGGAGAGGUAGACGGUACUCGGUAGGAAGGGGUAAAAUCCUUUGAUCUAUUGAUGACCACCUGUGGCGAAGGCGGUCUACCAGAACACGUCCGACGGUGAGGGAUGAAAGCUGGGGGAGCAAACCGGAUUAGAUACCCGAGUAGUCC
rnacentral:rRNA from 1 species